GUAAGUGUUAUGUUAUACAGUUUAUAUGAUUUCAUGAUGAUGAUAAUGUUAUUGCUUUCAUAUGUUGUUUUCAUGGAUCUCACCGAGGUAAGUGGACGGUAAAGGUUUUUAUGUUAAUAAACGAGUUCGUUAUAAAUUAUGCUUCAUUGGUCAUUUUUGUUUUCUACCCACCUUUACUUCCGUGGCGGUGAGAUAGUGUGAUGUCUUUACUGGGCUGGUGAAGCUCAUUCCUUAUUUAACCAUUUCAGAUCAGGAAGAUGUUGUUCCCGAGCCCGUUCCGCAUGAAGACGGCGAAGGGGACGCCUAAAGACUUCAUAGUUAUAUUUAUAGUUUUUAUUUCGAGUAUCUCUUUUAGUUAGUUUGUUCCUUCAUGUUUUGAGUACGUUUUGGUUAUUGUGUAAGAGAUGUUAAUCAAAAUUUUUAUUACGCUUCCGCAUUUGAGAUUUUUAAUACAUAUAUUUCAUUCAAAUUUCCGGGGCCGUUACACCAUUGGGACUUCUUGAUGACAUGCAGACAUCAACGAUAAAGGAGGAAAUGGUGUUGCUUCACCAAGGUUUCUCUUUCGC
rnacentral:lncRNA from 1 species